GGCGGCAAAUGCACAGUCAAUUGGUCAAAAGUUUGCUCGCCCAUGGAGUAUGGUGGCCUCGGCAUUCUCGACCUCGAGAAAUUCAGUAGGGCUCUGAGACUGAGAUGGCUGUGGCAUUCUUGGAAGAGCCUAGAUCGGCCAUGGGUGGGGAUGGAGGUGCCUUGUGAGGAGAGCGACAAGGCGGCGUUCAGCGCAAUGACAAUGAUCACCAUCGGUGACGGCCGCACGACCACCUUUUGGGGUUGUGUCUGGGCUGGUGCUGAGCCCCUCAAGGCGUCCUUCCCAUGCCUAUUCAAACACUCGAGAAGAAAGAACAGUACUGUACAGGCGGCUCUGCAUGACAAUGCUUGGAUUAAGGACUUGGCGCAUGGCAACGUAAACCCUUUGCUUCAGGAGUUCUUGAACUUAGAGAGGUUGAUCAGAACUGCUAGAACGAGUAUGAAGUCGGGGCAGCCCGACGAGAUCAGAUGGAAAUUCACGGCGAACGGGAUCUACAGCGCGUCAUCAGCAUAUCAGGCACAGCUUCUUGGAUUGAUCCAGGAUCCGUUCAGGAAAACCUUUUGGAGUGCCUGGGCUCCUGGUCGGCUCAAGAUCUUCGCCUGGUUACUGCAUCUUGAUCGGCCAUGGUGCAAUGACAGGCUGUAG
rnacentral:rRNA from 1 species